CGAUUUCUUUCUACGGAAGAAUAGACAAAGUGACAGUUAGACAAUGGAGAUCCGCCAUUUUGCCGAUAAAAUCUGUUAGUAUGUCGAUUUUUCCAAUUUCUAAGGUUGUUACGUCGCAGUGCAGGCAG